rnacentral:rRNA from 1 species
UACAUGGGGUGCAAACGUUGCUCGGAAUUAUUGGGCGUAAAGAGCUCGUAGGCGGCUCGUUGCGUCGGCUGUGAAAACCCGCAGCUCAACUGUGGGCUUGCAGCCGAUACGGGCGGGCUUGAGUUCGGUAGGGGAGACUGGAAUUCCUGGUGUAGCGGUGAAAUGCGCAGAUAUCAGGAGGAACACCGGUGGCGAAGGCGGGUCUCUGGGCCGAAACUGACGCUGAGGAGCGAAAGCGUGGGGAGCGAACAGG